rnacentral:rRNA from 1 species
CCUACGGGGGGCAGCAGUCGAGAAUCAUUCACAAUGGGGGAAACCCUGAUGGUGCGACGCCGCGUGGGGGAAUGAAGGUCUUCGGAUUGUAAACCCCUGUCAUGUGGGAGCAAAUUAGAAAGAUAGUACCACAAGAGGAAGAGACGGCUAACUCUGUGCCAGCAGCCGCGGUAAUACAGAGGUCUCAAGCGUUGUUCGGAAUCACUGGGCGUAAAGCGUGCGUAGGCUGUUUCGUAAGUCGUGUGUGAAAGGCGCGGGCUCAACCCGCGGACGGCACAUGAUACUGCGAGACUAGAGUAAGGGAGGGGGAACCGGAAUUCUCGGUGUAGCAGUGAAAUGCGUAGAUAUCGAGAGGAACACUCGUGGCGAAGGCGGGUUCCUGGACAUUAACUGACGCUGAGGCACGAAGGCCAGGGGAGCGAAAGGGAUUAGAUACCCUUGUAGUC